AUACGAAGGGGGCUAGCGUUGUUCGGAAUUACUGGGCGUAAAGCGCGCGUAGGCGGACUGAUCAGUUGGGGGCGAAAUCCCAGGGCUUAACCCUGGAACUGCCUCCAAUACUGUCAGUCUUGAGUUCGGGAGAGGUGAGUGGAAUUCCUAGUGUAGAGGUGAAAUUCGUAGAUAUUAGGAAGAACACCAGUGGCGAAGGCGGCUCACUGGCCCGAUACUGACGCUGAGGCGCGAAAGCGUGGGGAGCAAACAGGAUUAGAAACCCUAGUAGUCC
rnacentral:rRNA from 1 species